UUUCUUCCUUGUCUUUCUGUCCUCUUCAUCUCUCUUAACAUGGUAUCAGAGCUAUGGAGAUCCUGAAGCAGUCAUCUUCAUCCCUCUCUACUCUCCUCUCGUAGGACACCACCGGCCACUUCUUCUUCUUCGGCGGCGAGCAUCGUCUAGAUCAUCGAGAUCUGGCACAUCCAUUCUCCUCAGAAGAGUACUUGUUUUCUUUGGAUUUUUCUUGUGGAGAACCGGCCGACCGCGGCAGUGCAAAAGCUCUGCCGUACGUCACCGACUCAGGAGGAGGCGCCCGCCCGUCUGUCCGCUGUCAGGCGCCGGCUCCGGAGAAGAGGACUGUCCUCUGCUUCUCCGCCGUGGGUUUAUUCUCUGCCGCUGUGACCCACAUCAAGCCUGCCCGCCGGAGCUCGAAGUGGACCUGAGAAGAAGGAGGAGGAGCCCGCCCGUCCGUCCGCUAUCAGGCGCCGGCUCCGGAGAAGAGGAUUGUCCUCUGCUUCUCCGUCGUGGGUUUAUUUUAUAAGGUCCAUCUUCAACCUCUUCUCCGCCUUCGGUUUCUCUUCAUCUCUCCGGCACAAAAGCAGAGGAGUCCUUUCCUAAGGUCUGCUGAAAGAAGUGUGACAAGGGAUAAGGUACACUACGCUUUGCCCCCACCCAACUUAGUUGAAAGUUGAUAGGCCUUGGUCAGUCUCUGUCAUUAUUAAAAC
rnacentral:lncRNA from 1 species